ACCGUGAGGGAAAGGUGAAAAGCACUUCGAACAGAAGAGUGAAAUAGUUCCUGAAACCGUGCGCCUACAAGCGGUCGGAGCUCGUUAAUGAGUGACGGCGUGCCUUUUGCAUAAUGAACCUACGAGUUGCCUUUGCCGGCAAGGUUAAGUGUGACGACACACGUAUCCGAAGCGAAAGCGAGUCUGAAUAGGGCGUAUAGUCGGCAGUGGCAGACGCGAAACCAAGUGAUCUACCCUUGGCCAGGUUGAAGGCUGGGUAACACCAGCUGGAGGACCGCACCAAUAAGCGUUGAAAAGCUUCUGGAUGAGCUGAGGGUAGGGGUGAAAGGCUAAUCAAACUUGGAGAUAGCUCGUACUCCCCGAAAUGCAUUUAGGUGCAGCCUUGCGGGUUACUGAUGUGAGGUAGAGCGACUGAUAAGAUGCGAGGGCUUCACCGCCUAUCAAGUCUUGACAAACUCCGAAUGCGCAUCAGUUCUACCGCAGGAGUGAGGGCAUGGGUGCUAAGGUCCGUGCCCGAGAGGAGAAGAAUCCGGACCACCUGCUAAGGUCCCGAAAUGACAGCUAAGUUAAACUAACGAAGUCUGACUGCUAAGACAGCUAGGAUGUUGGCUUGGAAGCAGCCAUUCAUUUAAAGAGUGCGUAACAGCUCACUAGUCGAGGAGUCGGGCGUGGAUAAUAAUCGGGUAUCAAGUUGUCUACCGAAGCAGUGGGAUCAUUGAUAUGAUCGGUAGGGGAGCAUUCCAGUCAGCGUCGAAGGCGUACCGUGAGGUAUUCUGGAGCGUCUGGAAAAGCAAAUGUAGGUAUAAGUAACGAUAAAGGGGGCGGGAAACCCCCUCGCCGAAAGACUAAGGUUUCCUGAUCAACGCUAAUCGGAUCAGGGUCAGUCGGGUCCUAAGGCUCAGCCGAACGGCGAUGCCGAUGGCAGAAACGGUUAAUAUUCCGUUACUACCUUCAGGAGUGACGUGGAGACGCAGUAGUGACAGUGCCGCCAUCUGACGGAAUAGAUGGUUGAAGGGUGUAGGAGUCGAUCAUGGCAGGCAAAUCCACCAUGAGAUCCGAACCUGAUAGUAUGCCGCGUCCUUCGGGACAAGGCAAUAGUGCGCGUAAGCAUGCUGCCGAGAAAAUCCGCUAAACUUAAUCCUGCAGGUACCCGUACCGCAAACGGACACACGUAGUCGGGUUGAAUAUACUAAGGCGCUUGAGUGAUUCACGGUUAAGGAACUAGGCAAACUGACCCUGUAACUUCGGGAUAAAGGGUCCCUACCCUUUUAUGGGAGGGCGCAGAGAAUCGGUCCAGGCAACUGUUUAACAAAAACACAGGGCUGUGCCAAAUCGAAAGAUCCAGUAUACAGCCUGACACCUGCCCGGUGCUGGAAGGUUAAGAGGAGAUGUCAUCGAUAAGAGAAGCGUUGAAUUGAAGCCCCAGUAAACGGCGGCCGUAACUAUAACGGUCCUAAGGUAGCGAAAUUCCUUGUCGGGUAAGUUCCGACCUGCACGAAUGGUGUAAUGAUCUGGACGCUGUCUCAACCGUGAGCUCAGUGAAAUUGUAGUAUCGGUGAAGAUGCCGAUUACCCGCGAUGGGACGAAAAGACCCCGUGAACCUUUACUAUAGCUUAUCAUUGAAUCUGGGCACGUGAUGUGUAGGAUAGGUCGGAGGCUUUGAAGCAGGUACGCCAGUAUUUGUGGAGCCGCUGUUGAAAUACGACCCUUUAUUUGUUUGGAUUCUAACCCGUGGAACGGGGACAUUGAUUGGUGGGUAGUUUGACUGGGGUGGUCGCCUCCAAAAGCGUAACGGAGGCUUCUAAAGGUGCCCUCCGGCCGAUUGGUAACCGGCCUUAGAGUGUAAUGGCAUAAGGGCGCUUGACUGGGAGACUGACAAGUCGAUCAGGUAGGAAACUAGAGCAUAGUGAUCCGGUGUUUCCGUAUGGAA
rnacentral:rRNA from 1 species